UGAUCCUGGCUCAGGACGAACGCUGGCGGCGUGCUUAACACAUGCAAGUCGAACGGAAAGGCCCCUUUGGGGGUACUCGAGUGGCGAACGGGUGAGUAACACGUGAGUAACCUGCCCUUGACUUCGGGAUAACUUCAGGAAACUGGGGCUAAUACCGGAUAGGAAUCCUUGCUGCAUGGUGGGGGUUGGAAAGCUUCGGCGGUUUUGGAUGGACUCGCGGCUUAUCAGCUUGUUGGUGGGGUAGUGGCUUACCAAGGCUUUGACGGGUAGCCGGCCUGAGAGGGCGACCGGCCACAUUGGGACUGAGAUACGGCCCAGACUCCUACGGGAGGCAGCAGUGGGGAAUAUUGCACAAUGGGCGGAAGCCUGAUGCAGCAACGCCGCGUGCGGGAUGACGGCCUUCGGGUUGUAAACCGCUUUCAGCAGGGGCGAAGCUUUUGUGACGGUACCUGCAGAAGAAGCACCGGCUAACUACGUGCCAGCAGCCGCGGUGAUACGUAGGGUGCGAGCGUUGUCCGGAUUUAUUGGGCGUAAAGAGCUCGUAGGUGGUUGAUUGCGUCGGAAGUGAAAACUUGGGGCUUAACCCUGAGCGUGCUUUCGAUACGGGUUGACUUGAGGAAGGUAGGGGAGAAUGGAAUUCCUGGUGGAGCGGUGGAAUGCGCAGAUAUCAGGAGGAACACCAGUGGCGAAGGCGGUUCUCUGGACCUUUCCUGACGCUGAGGAGCGAAAGCGUGGGGAGCGAACAGGCUUAGAUACCCUGGUAGUCCACGCUGUAAACGGUGGGUACUAGGUGUGGGGUCCAUUCCACGGAUUCCGUGCCGUAGCUAACGCAUUAAGUACCCCGCCUGGGGAGUACGGCCGCAAGGCUAAAACUCAAAGGAAUUGACGGGGGCCCGCACAAGCGGCGGAGCAUGCGGAUUAAUUCGAU
rnacentral:rRNA from 1 species